GCUCGCGUAGUUUACUCAAAACAUAACACUGAAGAUGUUAAAACAGACCCUAAAAAGUCUCGUAGGCA
rnacentral:tRNA from 1 species